GUCGCCUAUGGGAUUUGAAUUGGUAUAGUCCAACCUCCUCACAUGCGAAACGUGACGACUGAAAAGUAAAUCAAAUUCACAAUACAAAAUGAUUAGAUUGCAGCCGUCGGGAAAGGGCGAUUAUGAAGAUGAGAAAGCGAAAGCUCAAAACGAAAAUAGACUAGCCUUGCAAAGUACUAUUCAGAAUGUUAUUUUGUUUGGCAUCACUUGUGGAGUUAUUCGAUCUUUGCCUUGGCUAAUGAACCAAAUGAGUUGAACCAGUGUCCUUUGCUGCAGAAUACUGUGACCAGUUUUUGCCACACAGUGAGAAUACAAUUCUGCGAGUGUGCCAUGAACUAAGUAGAAGAAAGUCUUGAAACAGAUUAUAAAGAUGACUUUAUUGAUCAGUAAAACAUUCGAGUAUAUGGUCAAAGUUGAAUGUUACAGUAGGUAAUCAUAUAUAAAGUAUAAAACAUUG